UUAAUUUUUUCUGUGACCGUAACAGUGCUCUUUUUAAAAAAGGAAAUCUGUUUUUUAAAAUCCUGGAGGGUUCUGGAAAGAUGGUGGAGUAGGGGUCCCCAGGAAUCUGUCUCCCCUACUACACAACAAUUGCACCGGCAGAGCUGGCCUGAUGUAACUCUUGUGGAGGUUUGGACAGUUUACCGAAGGCUUGCCAUGUGCAGGGGAAGACUUGGACAGUUGAUUUUGGCCAAUUUCAGCUCUCAGCACAGAGCGGCGACCCCACCCCCAUGGCAGGCACCUGUGCCCCCAGCCUGCAUGAGCCAGGAUGCCAAAAAGGACCUGUCCUCCAAACCAUGAUUUGUGCUCUGAUCACUGCGGCGCAGAGCAGAGAUCUGUGUUCUGAUCACGGGGUGCAGUGGCCAUUUCUGUUGCACUUCCCUGCUAAUGCAAGUCCCUCCUCAUCUGGCUGAAGUACCAUCCAGGAGAUUUAAAAGACCAAUAUUUUGUUUUCCCACCCACCACCCCCCAGCAUGCAGUGGCUUGAUGUGGGAUCUCAGUUCCCAGACCAGGGAUUAAACCUGGGUCAAAGCAGUGAAACUUGGGAAUUCUAACCACUGGACCACCAGGGAACUACCACCAGUGCCAUUUUUAAACCACUUUGGGUCCCCUCCCCCUUUCUGGUAGUCUGACAUUAAAGACUACGACAUUAAAAGAUGACUACAUAUAUAGGGAAAGUUAGAAAGUGACUGGUAAUGCCCAGGGAAAGGUUCAAAAAAGACCUAAGAAUAUCCUAAGUUUACGCCUGAGACUGACCCUCAACAAUAAGCCAGUCUACAUAAUUGAAAAACAAAAACAAUAAACAAGCACAAUAUCAAAACAAAGCAAAUCCUGGAGGAAGAGAAAGAAUAUGAUUUCCAGAGUUACCAUUGUAUCGAUUCAAAUGUCCAGCUUCUACCAAAACAAAAAACAAAAAAUCACAAGGCAUACAAAGAAAUAGGGAAAUAUGGUAUAUUCAAAGAAAUAAAGUGGAUUGAUAAAAAACUGUCGCUGAAAGAGAUCCAACAGAAGAAAUAUUAAAUCAAGACUUUAAAACAGCUGACAUAAAAAUUUUCAAAGGGAGCUCCCAUUGUGACUCAACAGUAACAACACGACUGGUAAACAUGAGGGUGCAGGUUUGAUCCAUGGCUUCUCUCAUGGGUUAAGGAUCCGGCAUUGCCGUGAGCUGUGGCAUAGUUCACAGAUCUGACGUUGCUGUGGCUGUGGCAUAGGCUGGGGGCUAUAGCUCCGAUUCAACCCCUAGCCUGGGAACCUCCAUAUGCCAUGGGUAUGGCUCUAAAAAGACAAAAAUAAAUAAAUGAAUAAAUACAUAAAUGACUAUUGCAUUAUAAAAAUAUAUUACUUUAUAUUUGGGGGCACACAAUGUACAAAGAUGUAAUUUUAUGACAUCAACAGCUGAAAGGGAGGGUAUGGAGCUGUAAAGGAGCAGAGUUUAGAUAUGUUAUUGAAGUUAGGCUGGUAUAUAUUCAAACUACAGUGUUAUAAAGGUUAGGUUGUUAAAUGUAAUCCCUGUGGUAACUAUGAAGAAAAUGGUUAUAGAAUAUACACAAAAGGAAAUGAGAAAGGAAUUUAAACAUCUCACUACAAAAAAUCAGCUAAACUCAGAAGAAGACAGUAAUGCAGGAAACAGCAAUAAAAAAGACACAAGGCAUUUAUAAAACACAGAGCAAAAUCACAGAAGCAAACCUUUCCUUACCAGUAAUUACUUUAAAUGUAAAUAGUUUAAACUCUUCAAUUAAAAGACAGAGAUCGGCAGAACAGAUAAAAAUACAAAGAUACAGCUAUAUCUACAAGAGAUGCAUUUUAGAAUCAAAGACACAAAGAGAGUGAGAUUAAAAGGAUGAAAAGAGAUAGACCAUGCAAAAAGCAACCAAAAGAGAGGAUGGGUGGAUAUAAUAAUAUUAGACAAAAUAAACUUUAAUUGAAAAAGUGUACAAUAAGAAGGACAUUGUAUAUUAAUAAAAGUUUUGGAGUUACCGCUGUGGCUCAGUGGUUAACGAAUCCAACUAGGAACCAUGAGGUUGUGGGUUUGACCCCUGGCCCCGGAUCAGUGGGUUAAGGAUCCGGUGUAGGUUGCAGACAUGCCUUGGAUCCUGAGUUGCUGUGGCUCUGGAGUAGGCCAGUGGCUACAGCUCUGAUUGGACCCCUAGCCUGGGAACCUCCAUAUGCCACAGGAGCAGCCUAGAAAAGACAAUAAAAUAAAAUAAAAUAAAAGUUUCAAUAAAGCAAGAAGAUAAAACAAUUACAAACAUUUGUGUACCUAAUGACAGCCCAUCAAAAUAUAUGAAGUAGAAACUGACAGAAUUGAAGGGAAAAAUAGAAUAGUUCUACAAUAAUAGGUGGAGAUGUCAAGACCCAUUACCACAAUAAUGGAUUAAAAAAAACUAGAGAGAAGAUAAGAAAAUAGACACUUAACACAACAGACAACUGGAUCUAACAGAUACCUAUAGAACACUCUACCCAACAGCAGCAGCAUACACAUUCUUCUCAAGUGUCUACGGGCUAUUUCCCAGGAUGGGUCAUAUGUUAGCCCAGAAACGAAGUCUCCAAUUUUAAAAGACAGAUAUUGGGAGUUCCUCUGUGGCUCAGUGGUAACGAUCCGACUAGUAUCCAUGAGGAUGUAGAUUUGAUCCAUGGCCUUGCUCAGUGGGUUAAGGAUCAGGUGUUGCUGUGAGCUGUGGUGUAGGUCGCAGAAGUAGCUCGGAUCCCCAUGUUGCUGUGGCUGUGGUGUAGGUUGGCAGCUACAACUCUGAUUCAACCCCUAGCCUGAGAACUUCCCUAUGCCAAGGGUACAGCCUCCCAUGCCCCCCAAAAAGACAGAUAUCAUACAAAAUGUGUUCUUCAACCACAAUGUAUAGAAAUUAGAAAUCAGUAACAGAGGGAAAACUAAAAAACUCACAAAAUUGUGGAAAUUAAACAAUACACUUAUCAACAACCAAUGGAUCAAAGUAGACAAUACAAGGGAUAUUAUUAGAAAAUACUUACAGACUAAUGAAAACAAAAACAUGACAUGCCAAAACUUAUGGAAUACAGUGAAAGUACUGUUAAUUGGAAAAUUUAUAGCUAUAAAUAUCUACUUUAAAAACAAGAACGAUAUCAAAUCAAAAACCUAACCUUAUAACUUAAGGAAUAGGAAAAGAAGAACAAAUUAAACCUAAAGCUAGCAGGAAGAAGGAAAUAAUAAAGAUUAGAAUACAGAUAAACAAAAUAGAGAAUAGAAAAGCAAUAGAGAAAAAUCAAUGAAACCAAAAGUUGGCUCUUAAAUGAUCAACAAAAUUGACAAAUCUUACCUCACACCAGUAAGAAUAGAUAUCAUCAAAAUGUCUAUAAAUAACAAAUGCUGGAAAAAAGGGAACCCUCCAACACUGUUGGUGGGAAUGUAAAUUGGUAAAAGCACCAUGGAGAACAGUAUGCAGGUUCCCUAAAAAAACUAAAAAUAGAACUACUAUAUGAUCCAGCAAUUCCAUCCCUAGGCAUAUAUCCAGAGAAAACUGUAAUUUGAAAAGAUGCAUGCACCUCAGUGUUCACUGCAGCACUAUUUACAAUAGUCAAGGCAUGGAAACUAGCUAAAUGUUCAUCAACAGAAGAAUGGAUAAAGACGAUGAGCUACAUAGACACAAUGGAAUACUGCUCAGCCGUAACAAGAAUGAAAUAAUGCCAUCUGUAGCAACAUGGAUGGAACUGGAGAUUAUCAUAUUAAGUGACGUAAUCCAGAAAAAGACCAGUAUCAUAUGAUAUUACUUAUACAUGGAAUCCAUAAAAAUGAUACAAAAGAAUUUAUUUAUAAAACAGAAACUCAAAGAUUUCAAAAUUAAAUUUAGAAUUACCAAAGGGGAAACCAUGGGGUCAGGGGAGGGAUAAAUUGGGAGGAUUAACACACACACACUACUAUACACACAGUAGAUAACUAACAAGGACCUAAUGAACAGUGCAGGGAGGUCUACUCAAUGUUCUGAAAUAACCUAUGGGAAGGAAAGAAUAGAUGUAUGUGUAGUUAAUCCACUUUGCCGUCAACAUGACACCAACACAAUACUGUAAAUCAAUUACAUCCCAAUUAAAUUUUAGAAAUUGACAAAACUUUAGCUACUGGACUAAGAAUGAAGAAGAAAAGAAUCAAAUUACUAAAAUCAGAAGUGAAGGGGUUUCCAUUGCAGCUCAGUGGGUUAAGGACCCAACAUCUCUCUGAGGAUACAGGUUUGAACCCUGGUCUCACUCGGUGGAUUAAGGAUCUAGCAUUGCCACAAGCUGUGGUGUAGGUUGCAGAAGUGGCUCAGAUCUGGCGUUGCCAGGGUUGUGGUGUAGGCCACAGCUGCAGCUCAGAUUCCCCUGGCCUGGGAACUUCUUUAUGCCACAGGUAUGACCAUAAACAGAAAAAAAAGUCUACAAACAAUAAAUGCUGGAGAGAGUAUGGAGAAAAGCAAACCCCCUUACACUGCUGAUGAGAAUGUAAACUGGUACAACAGCUGUGGGGAACAGUAAGGAGGUUCCUCAAAAAACUAAAAAUAGAACUACUGGGUCACCUUGCUGUGCAGCAGAAAUUUGACAGAACACUGUAAAUCAGCUGUAACGGAAAAAAUAAAAAUGAUUAUUUUAAAAAAGUAGAAUAAAAUCCCUCCCCAAAAGAACUACCAUAUGAUCCAGCAAUCUCACUCCUGGGCAUCUAUCCAGAGAAAAUCAUAAUUUGAAAAGAUAUACACACCCCCAAUGUUUAUUUCAGCUUUACUUACAAUAGCCAAAACAUGAAAGCAACCUAAAUGUCCAUCAACAAAGGAAUGGAUAAAGAAGAUGUGGUGCAUAUAUGCAAUGGACUACUACUCAGCCAUAAAACAGAAUGAGAAGUAGUGGUUAAAGGAUCACUGCUGUGGUGAGGGUUUGAUCUUGAACUUCUGCAUGCUGAGGGUGUAGCCAAAAAAAAAAAAAAAAA
rnacentral:lncRNA from 1 species